UCUGGGAUGCAGAAGGCUGGCAUACUUUGGCUGCCCUCUCAGAAAUGUGCCGGCAUGCCCAGAUGAAAACUGUCCUGGCCCCACCUGCUCUCAAAUGCCAGAAUCAUAACGCAUGCCCAGCACCUCUGCCUUUGUCAAUAAUGAUGAUAGAGGAGAACGUGAUUUCCAAAUGUGAGGCUGAAUUCCCUGAGAUUUGUUUUUUUUUUUUUUUCUUUUUACCUCUUUUUGUUUCCCAACGUCUCCUGGGCCUGCUCUUUGUCACACACAGAAAGAGAACACAUGCUCAGUAGUGGUCAAAGCAUUUUUCACAUUCUUCCACAGCAACAACAAAUCAGAACAGCCUUUCCUUAUAGUGUGGGUUUCCCACCAAACCUAAGACCUGAGGAGUUGGGGCCCCUGGUAUCUGCCCACUGGUUUGGAUUGGCUGGAUCAAUAUGGCCCUAACUAGGGAACCCAUUGGCAUUGCACCCAUGGACUCUGAGAAAGGCAUAUGAUCAAGGUUCUCUCUCUCUCUCUCUCUCUCUCUCUACUCUACCUUGACCCCGCAGUGUGGACCCUCAAGGUUUGCCGUGUACUUCAUGCAGGACCUGUGAGUAAUAAACCUCUAUUCCAAUUUCUCUUGUGGCUUACCAUCUGGCACCCUGUGCUACACUUAACAUAUGUUCAUUUAACAAAGUCAUAGCACACGGACAGACCCAAACUGAGGGACACUCUAUAAAUGACUUUGACAUCUUCAGAAAAUUUCAGGGGUCAUGAAGGACCAAGAAAGGACUAAGAAACUAUUCCAGACUGAAGGAGACAAGACACAACCAACUGUAACUUGGUUCUGGACUGGUUUGUUUUGCCAUAAAGGACAUGACUGGGACACUUGGUGCAACUCAAAUCCCCAUUUGAGGAUCAGAUUGUAGUGGUAUAUCAAUGUUUAUUUCCUAACUUUGAUGGUUGAACUGGGUUACACAGGACAAUGUCCUUGAUUGAAGGAAUUACAUACUCAUUCAGGGGCGAUGUAACAUCAGAUUGGCAAUUUUCUACCAAAUUUUUAGGAGAAAGAUAAUUCUUUGUACUGCUGUCCAAAACUUCUAUGAGUUUGUUUCAAAAGGAAAAGAGAAAGGAAGUAGUGUUGAGUUUGGUUGGGAGGGAGGUCAGGGUCACUGAACUUGUUUUUCAGGUGGUUUUAAGCACAAGCCUGAGAAUUUCAAGUUCAAAAAAGCUGGAACUUGAAUCAUCGCUUUGAGAGCUCCUAUAGGGAUCUUGGUGGAAAUGGGAUGGAGGGAUAUCAGAUGAACAAGUUUGUACAAAAUCUUGCUACUCAGGUAAAAGGACUGGCAAUGAUUCAGUAUAUAGGCUUUUAGGUGUUUGUGUGUGUGUGUGUGUGUGUGUGUGUGUGUAGAAGCUUCUUUUAUAUGCAAAUCCCAUCGUACAAACUGGUUAUGACCUCACCAACUUAACAACAUCCUUCUACAACAUCAUUUUUAAAGGUCAACUAGUAUAUAUCCCAUUGCAUGUGAACUUUAAUUUAGUUUACUAAUUGCUACUGGGGUUGGAUUUGACAUUUCUUGCUCCGUGCCUUAGAUUUUUGGCUCAUACUGUGCCUUAAUGUGAAAGAGGAAAAAAAGAAACAACUUGCCAGGUUCUUUCUGGGAGGACUUGUGUUGUUUCCCACUUUCCCACAAACAGAAUCGGGCUGUGAGAAGGAAGUUUCCAAGAGUGUUUAAGAUCCUACCCCUAAACAGAUGAGCUGGGUUCAAAUACUGACUCUCCCCUCACCACCUGUGUGAGGUUCGCUGGUUCGCCAUUAACCAUUAGCUAACAUCUCUGUGCUUCAGUUUCCUCAUCUGCAAGAUGGGGGUGAAGUGAAUAGUAUCCGUCUCACAGGGUUAUUGAAGGAUUCAUAAGCUGUGAGUAGCUUGUACAUGGUAAGCACCCAUUGGCGUUGGCCAUUGUUAAUACUAUGAAUAGACUUAAGCGACAACUUCUGAGGUCUGCAGAAAGCUAGAAAGACAUCAAGUUGGGCAAUCUCCUCCCCAGAAAAGGAAAUAGUCCUGUGUUGGUGGCAAGAAGUAAUUAUGAUGGAAAAAACAUUUUCCAAGGUCUGGAGCUGACGUGUACUCCUUGUGACAUUUUAAUCUCUGAGUAAUACAUUCCAUUGCCUGCAGAGCUGUGAUUUUUCAGUUUAUUGCUUUUUCCUCUUCUCUCCUCAAACCUGGAUUCCUCUUCCUCUCGGCUCCAGCCUGUCUCCAGCAACCAUGGACUGUUUCUGGACAGUCCCCAUUCUGGAGCCAGCUUCUUUACUCAACACAGGCAAGGAAGCCUGAAGCCCCAGAGUGGCACACUGCCCUCCUUGGGGAAAGAGGCCCAACUGUGCACUCCAUCUGUCACGUCACCUUUCAUGCUGGUGACAACUGUACAGGGUAGAUAUAUCACUGAGACAAUCUCCAUUCUAGGGUUGUGCAGAGGGGAUUCACGCGUGGGGCUUUGGAGUUAGUGAGCCCCGCUCUGGUUUUGUCACUGUGACACCUUGAGCAAGUUCCUUAACUUCUCUGAGGCUUAGUUUCCUUAUCUCUAAAACAAAGGGGAUAAAAAGGAUGCUGGGCUUAGAGGGAUUGAAUUAAAUUACAUAUAUAAAACAAGUAUAUGGCAUAGCACCUAGAGCAUAGAACAUACUCACUAAAUGGAUUACUACUGUUGUUUUAUUUAGAGUUGAAAACACGGAGCCUCAGGGUAGUCAUAUUUAUUAUUGUAUUUUGCAAAUGAGGAAGCCCCGCUACACCUUAGUGCUUUUCCCACUGCACAUAGUGGCUCGCCCCUCUGGCCAAGACUACCAUUCCCCUGCCUUUUAUGUUAGUAGAAAUUUUAGAUGGGCAUAAGGGCUCCAUUUCCCAGCAUUCCAUGUGGCCAGAUGUGGUCACGUGACUAGUUUGGCAAGUAAAAUGUGUCUGGAAGUGACAUGAAGCUUCCUGGUUAGGUGAACACAAGGGAGGGGUUUGCUUUUCCUCACCUCUUUCCCUCUUGAAAUGACUACAUGAACUUUUACAUAAGAAGGAUAUAACCUUCUGUGUUGUUUAAGCCAUUGUAUUUUGGAUCUUUUUGUUACAGCAGCCAAAUCUGCAUAGAGAGGGGGCAGCAGAGUUAAGAGUAAUAGGACCUUGGCUAGGAGUCCAGAGACCUAGGUGUCCUAGCCAUACUUCUCAUUUGUCACAUGACCAAAAUAUUCAUUCACAUGCUCAUCUUACAACCUUUAGGCGGCAACUGCACUUGACAACAGCAAUACAGAGAUAAAUAGGACAUAGACCAGAAACAACCAAAUCCACCUGCAGCCAUGAUGAUGUUAUGCAUGUCAAUCCUUGAGGGGAGCAUAUUCUCCUAUAGAGGAUACAGAUUCAGUUCCAGAGGCAGCCCAGGGCUCUCAGGGCAUAUUCCUUCUGACAUGCAGUGAUUACAUCCAUUUUUCUUAUGGGGCAGAAUCAUCAUUUCCAUCUUCUAAUUCCUAGUUGAGCCAAGGAAGCAAACACCUUAACAAGAGAACCAAAGCAGAGGAUGAGGGGGACUGGUCAUGAGCACAUAUGAGACACCUCUGGGAAUUCCCAGAUAUGACUCAGUGACAUGCUGAAGGUACAGAGCAGCUUGCCUUUAAAAUAUCUUCCAGCCUCAGAUUCCUUCUCCUCUCCUCUGAACAGUCACCAUCUUUCAGACUGAGGAUCAGCAUGGCAGAGGGAUGUGGAAAAGGGGAGAUGGUCACUCUCAUCCAAAGGCACAGGAAUGGGAAGAUGGGGAAAGGGUGCAUGUGGCCGCCUUUUGCCUCCUGUUAUAACUCAGGUCAUUGUUGACAAUUGAACUGAAUGCUAAUAUUGCAACAUUAAUCCUCCUCUUUAGGAUGGUUAACCAGAGAACUGUGGGAUUCUCCCUCUCUCUCAUCUACUCUCACAGGGUCUAUCCUGCCUAACAAUCUCCCUGCAUGGCUUAAAUCACCUCCAGAGCUUCACUCACUGAAGAAAAACAAACACACCUUGAAGUUUCUGAUUUCCCCUAAUUUAACCCCGGGAAAAGUGCCAUCUCUGCACCUUCACUAUCAAGAUUUUUCCUGUCUUAUCAGUAAAAUGCCAUACAAGAACAGUAAAAACUGUGCCUCACAUUCAAAACAAAUCACUUGGUCUUAAGAUAUGGAGAUGAUGUUUUUCUAAUCCCUUGAGAGUAGAGAUAAGACUAAUUCUGAUUUUCCAGGAAAGCAGGGUGAAAGUUGGCUAAGGAGAUGGGCAGAGAACAACCUAAAGUAUUCAAGUCCUGUGCCAACUACUCUAAGCUUGACAAGGGCAUGUGGAGAAAAGGCAGACAUGCUUGACGUGGUCCACAUGAGGGGGUCACACAGGUGAGGGGUCCACCUGUGGGGGUCCACAGGUGAGGGCAUUCAGAGGAGGCAACAGCCCUCCCCCGGUCCAAGAGACCCAUGGUGAUCCACCAAUGGGGGCACUGUUGUUCUGCCCUCAGAAUCUGAGACAGAGCUCUUAUAUAAUAUGCCAGUGCCCAGAACAGCUUCCAGGGGCUGAUUUCUGCCUAUUUUGAGAAGAAGGCUUUGAAAUUUUGAAGAUUCUACAUUAUAGAUAGACCAACAAUCUUUUCCCCCCACCUCUUUAACGGUCAAAAUUUUAUCAGUUAAUGCAUAUACAGAGGGAAAAAUUAAGAUGGGUUUAUAAUAAAAAGAAAUAGUCUCUUGCCCUAUUUCUCCCUACCUGGUCCUUUUUGUCCAGAAACCAUUUCUCCUUUUAAAUUUUAAAGUUUUAUUUAUUUAUUUAGUUUUAUUAUGGUGGUUAUUGCUAAUUUGCUAUAUUGCCCUUUCAUGAUUUAUCAGCUUUACACAUUUUACAUUGACUUCUUAUUAAGAUGUGAGAGUUUUGCUCACUGGAUCCCUUCUCUAAUCCUAUGACCCUUUAUAUAUUCACAUUACUAUUUUCAGUUCCAGCUUUUGUAAUUUAAAACACUACAACUGAAUUUCUAUUUAUCUUAUCAUAUCUUAUCAGCUGAAGCCAAUUCUUCCUAAUUCAUGCAAAAAUUGGAUUGAGGGUUAAUGAGGAGGACAGACACCCAUAGAAUCAAAGAGGCUGAAGAGUGAAGCUUCAGCAAAGUAACGAUUAGGGGUUGUUCUGGGAAUCUAGGGUUGUUUUGAGAAUUGAUGCACUGUCUCUUUAAGGCACCACCCAAUGUGAAUUAAUGGCCAUUCUUAAUUUACCAGGAAGAGGAAGUCUGAAUGGCUUAUACUGGGCCACAUGCCCACCCAAACGUGUGGAUUGACAUUCUCAUUAAGACUGCAUGUGUUGGUUGAGGAGGAGAAAUGACCCAAAGGAAAAUUGAGGUGGUAUUUUAGAAGAUGGGGGUAAGGAUGCUGGGUACUACACUCCUAGAUUUGUAAGAUAUUAUUAGUACAUGGUCACCCUUUCCUUCCCAUAACCUCUCCUCCCUUCCUACAUUUCUCAUCUGAAUUGGCAGCUUUACACUAACAAGAGUCAUUAUAUUUAUAGUCUUUGCUGAGCAUGCUCUUUGUUGGUUUUAAAAAUUAAAAAUCAUUAAACAAACUUUACAGUAUUAUCUUUCUGGAGGAAGAGUAAUGUGCUAUGAUAACAAUCAUCUAAUAGUUUUUAAAUUUUUCCUGGAAUUUCUAGUUGACUUUUUUUAUUUUCUGCCUCUUUCAUAUGCUUAUGUUCCUAAAAUGUCUCCAGCAUAGUAGCUACUUUUUAGACUAUUCUUCCCCAGAGACCUUCUCUUGGCACUCUCCAUUUACCUCCUCUAAUUUAGACUGAUUGUCUCCUGGGACUGAUAAUUAGCUGGUGUUUUCCUUCCCUCCCAUUCUCCUCUAAAUUGGACACACCAUCCCCUGGAUCUUAUGACUUCCUCUUUCUAGAUUUAGUUCCUCAUUUUACUAGAGCACAUCUUCUCUAGUAACUCCCAAGUGAACAGUGGAUAGGAGAUAAACUUUCUGCAUAUAAAAAAAAAUCUAUUCUGCCAUUAUUAUUUAAUGACAUUUUUUCUGGGCUAGAAUUCAAGUCAAAGACCAUUUUCUUUCAGCAUGUGGUGUUGUUGUACCAGUCUGUUUCUUUCUUGGCCAUUUUUAGAUGACUUCUUUCUCUCUCUGAAAUUUUAGGAUAUUUUCUUUAUCUUUGGUGCUCUGAAAUUUCUUGGAGAUGUGUCCAGGAGGGGAUCCUUUAAAAUGCACACCGUUCAGUGAAAAAACUCUUAUCCUUCAUCUUGGGAAAUACAUUGGUAUUAUUUCUUUCUCUCCCUUUUCUCUGUGUUCUCUUUUUGGAUCUCCAAUGGGUCAGAUGUUGGAUUUUCUGCACUUAUCCUUCAUGGUGCUUGUAUUUUUUUCCUCUCAGAUUUUAAGGAACUCAUACCAAGUGGAGGAGACAGUGGUGCUAAAAGUAUGGUGCGUAUAGUGGGAUGGCUCACUCAACACGUUCUAGCUUGCCUCUCUCUGCUACGCAGACUGGAAAACUGAAACUUAACAUUUCAUAGACCACUUGUAGCUGGAGUUCAGGCAUGUGGCCUGCGUUCUUCCAAUGACAUGUUCUAGUACAAGUGGCGGCAGAAAUGAUCAACAUGAGGAGGCAGCCUUAUACAUGGAGGUUGAAUAUUCUGAUGAGACGAGGGUAGAGGUGUCCAGUUCUGAGGUGGCUGUAGCCAGCCAUGCCUGUCUCCUCAGGACACUUUGGGUGAUCAGUGCUAAGGAUCAGAAGCAGUAGCUGCCAUGACUUCCCCAAGCAGCUAGUGUGAUCAGGCUCUUCCCUGGCUAUUAUUUCUGGUUAGGUGGUAUUGAGACCUGGUUCUUGAUCUCUUCUCCAAAUUCUGUGAGUCCAUCCCCCCACCCCCCAGUAUCCUUUAACAAAUCUCUUUCUGUUUGAACCAGCCAGAGUGGGUUUUGUUGUUUGCAUAUAGAAACCUUGACACGGAGGUAUGUACAGGAGACUGGGGCAGAAGACACAAAGUGGACUUCCCCUACAUGAAAUGAAAGGAAUGAUUUCACAGCAUGAAUGGCAACUGGGCAGAAAAUUUUAGGAUGAGUAGAAGUUUACUGAAUGGACAAAGGUAGAAAGAGAUCUCAGACAGAGGCACAAAACUGAAGGAGCUCAUACAUAUUCACUUCCCCGUUUAUUCAUUCAUUAAAUAUUCAUGAAUACACACUAUGUUCCAGGGACUGAGCCAGAUUCUAAGUGUACAACGGUGAGUAAGAAGAUAACCAUGAUUCCUGCCCAGAGUAUGUUUGUAUAUUUUCAAGUUAUGCAUGUAGAUCAUGUUAACCUGUAACAAUUUAGAUACGAACGUCACAAUAAAAAAUUGUGUGUCCCUUUCA